UGGAUUUGGCUAGCUACGUUUG
rnacentral:siRNA from 1 species